rnacentral:lncRNA from 10 species
GGUCUCCCUCUGAUGCCGAGCUGAAGCUGGACGGUACUGCUGCCUGAUUCUCCUGCCUCAGCCUGCCGACUGCCUGCGAUUGCAGGCGCGCCGCCACGCCUGACUGGUUUUCGUAUUUUUUUGGUGGAGACGGGGUUUCGCUGUGUUGGCUGGGCUGGUCUCCAGCUCCUAACCGCGAGUGAUCCGCCAGCCUCGGCAUCCUGAGGUGCCGGGAUUGCAGACGGAGUCUCAUUCACUCCGUGCUCAAUGGUGCCCAGGCUGGAGUGCAGUGGCGUGAUCUCGGCUCGCUACAACCUUCACCUCCCAGCAGCCUGCCUUGGCCUCCCAAAGUGCCGAGAUUGCAGCCUCUGCCCGGCCGCCACCCCAUCUGGGAAGUGAGGAGCGUCUCUGCCCGGCCGCCCAUCAUCUGGGAUGUGAGGAACCCCUCUGCCUGGCUGCCCAGUCUGGAAAGUGAGGAGCGUCUCUGCCCGGCCGCCAUCCCAUCUAGGAAGUGAGGAGCGCCUCUUCCCAGCCGCCAUCCCAUCUGGGAAGUGAGGAGCGUCUCUGCCCGGCCGCCCAUCGUCUGAGAUGUGGGGAGCACCUCUGCCCUGCCGCCCCGUCCGGGAUGUGAGGAGCGUCUCUGCCCAGCCACCCCGUCUGAGAAGUGAGGAGACCCUCUGCCUGGCAACCGCCCCGUCUGAGAAGUGAGGAGCCCCUCCGCCCGGCAACCGCCCCGUCUGAGAAGUGAGGAGCCCCUCCGCCCAGCAGCCACCCCGUCUGGGAAGUGAGGAGCGUCUCUGCCCAGCAGCCACCUCGUCCGGCAGGGAGACACUGAGGAGACGAAGACAAGCCAAGAUCAUCCUAUGCCUGGAAGAGAUCUCAGUUGUAUGGAAAUAAUCAGCCAAUAUGACCACCCACUUCUGGAAGAGCAUCUCUAAGACAGAGGGGGUACUGUGUCUCUUCACUUUCCAUACAUAGUUCUCAAUGUGUAUUUUUUUAAUUGAUUACUUUUUCCCCUUGAAGGAUUUCCUAAAAUCUAUUUAAUUUUACCUGACCUAUGUCCCAGAAAUUGUCUUUUUUCCUACUGUAAUUGCCAUUUAAAGUAAUAAAAAAUACUUGGGGAAAAAAGUUCAUCUUUCUAUAGCUUUAUAAAUAUGGAGCAAAUAUAUCUGUUCAUUUGAUGAAUGUCCAUUUAAACCAGCAUUGAGAGAAAUGAAUUAUCAUAUUCCACAAAAGAUCAUUGAAAAAAGACCAUUAAAUGAAUAAUAGUGGAUCCUUAAUGUUGCCCUAGAGGAAGAAGAAUAAUUUCAGAUGGCAGGAAAAUAACUUUUAUCUUUUGUUAAACAUUCAAACAAUUAUUUUACCAACACAUACCAUUGCAGAUAACCUCAAAAAGAGUAAAACAAAUUUUCAGAAUGCUAUACUCCUAUACUAAGGAGUGUUCCAGAGGCAACUGUGGUGUCUUUUAAUUCAAAAUUGUUCAGAGUAUAGGUUAGCCUCUCAUAUGGUGAGUAUAUAACCUAGGUUUUCUAUGACCAGCCUAAUAUAAACACUUCUGUCC